GAGAACGCCAAUGGAGUAUGACUAUGCUGGAAUAUGUUACCUCACGAUAAUUACCGAAGCGCCUUUUUGUUGUGGAAUAAGUAACCCAUUCACACUUAGAACGUGUCGUCGGCGGGCAGCGAGGUUCAGUGGAGAGGCUAUGCGGCAGAUGGCUGUGUGAAGUCUAUCGGCGCUGUUUGUGAGAGGAGAAACACGAUGACAAAGCCAAUAAAGAAAACAAAACUGCAUUCGACGGUGCAGUGAAAAUUCCCCUAUCAUCGAACAGAUCCCCGGCCGUAAUUGUAAAUUAAAUUAACUUUGUAAGGCAAGAAUGAAUGUAGCGACCAUCAACUAUAAUUCACCCGGCAAAAUAAAUUAAGAGCGGUGGUGUGAACUCCACCCAGUUGCGGGAACGUACAGUGCUGGCGCAUUCGUUUAUAAACCUUAUAUCGAAGCAUAAUGUGUUACUACUUGAAUAAUUAAGCAACUGAACACACUCCCUCUUCUUCAUUCAAGGACAAUGGCGGUUACGUCUAUGGAAGAACACAUGUCAGCAGGGAAGCCCGGUAAAUGGUGUUUGUUUCUGUGCCAAAAUCGAUAGCUCUCCUAUUGAUUAUUCGCGAGAAAGGAGUUAUCAGUAUGGCAAACGCGGAAAGCGCAAACAUUUUUUUUUUCAAUUAGAGUUUCAGUCCAAGCGACUUUGUUUACUUUUUGCUGAAAAUAACGGGCUCUCUCGCGAUGGUCGUAAUUGGAAUUGGCGAACUUUGAAAAUUUUUUACAUGUGUGUUUUUGAGCUAUUAAAAAUAAUAUUUGCAUGAAUUGGUAUAAAUGUUGUUUGUAAAAAUUAUUAAAUUAUAAAAACAUAGGCAUUUAAAAAUUGGGUUGUGGCCAUGGGAGACUAUGAUCGCUAUUUUCAAAUAUUGGAAACAUUGUAGGGUUACCAACACCUACUUAAUUUUUUUUUUUAAUGAAAUGCCCUGCAUAUUAUUAAAUUUUUAGAUUCAAUAAAUAAUUAUUAAACUUUCUAUACAUUAUAUAUAUACACCCAUACAUUAAAUUUUAAUAAAUUUGGCGAAUAACAUCUGUCAUGAAGAUAAUUAUCCAUUUUACAACCGUUUUAGAUAAAAAUCUGCAAUUUUGUUUACGGAUUGUCAAUAGGCUGCUGUAUCAUAUUAUAUCAAAUUAUACACAUUUUGCACAAUAUAUUAAUGUCAGUUAAAUAUGAUUAUUCAGACAAUAUAACGACCGAUUCAUUCUUGAUCUAAAAGUAUUACGACAUACCAAUUUUGAACAGUUUCGGAGUUAAAAGCGAAGAGCAAUAAUGAAAAUUAAGCAAAUAUGAAAAAUAUGCAAUACUUAGUAGUACACCAGGGCGAUAUAGUUUUGACAAUUGAAUUAGAGAGUAUUUAUCACACAAUUUAUUAAGAUUUUUUUUUUGAUGUGGUCAUUUCAUAUUCAAACGAUGAUUUAUUAAUAUAACAAACAAAAUUGGGUUUCUGUAACUCAAAAGCGUAAUUUUCGUUUGUUGAACAUUUCUUUUGUGAAAAUGCACAAUCAUCAGAUCAAAUAAUACCUUUUAAAAGUAAGAUCCAAAACCUGAUAUUUUAUUGUAUUUAAGAACCAUAUUGUUGAAUUGAUACCUAUAAUUUAUAGUAGAUUAUUUGGUUCGUCUAUAGCUAUUUUUCUGCACAUAAAUUAAUAAAUAAAAUAAACUGCUUGAUAAAUACUAUUUAAUUCAACUGUCAACUAUCAACUGUCAAACUAUAUCUUUUAACUCCGAAACGGUUCAAAAUAGCUAUGGGAUAUUAUAAUACUUGUAGAUACAGAAUGAAUCUUCCCUUUAAUUAACGUAAUAAAAUACAGGGGGUUCCUCUCAAAAUUUGCGUUUAAUUUACAUUUAUUUAUUUUGUAAACAUCCCGUAUGUGAUAACUGGAAUCUUAUGUCAUAAUAUUAUACAACAUCACAUUGGCAAGCUGUGUAAUUUUCGUGACACAAAACUGUAAUAUUAUAUAGGGAAUUCUAUAAAUAGAAAAGGAAGUUGCAGCCUGGUUCCAGUAGAUGUGGCAAUACUGUAUGUCCAAAAUAUUGCAAAAAUAGAGAACGUCUCCUCAUAUGACCGGAACUCAGUUUCUAAAUGCCUAUCCUUAUCCAUUUUUCAUAUACUUACAUCUAAUAUAGACCAUCGAUUUUUGUGGAACACUGUAUACGAGGGUUGCCUGAAAAGUUUCGGACCUAACAAUGAUUUGUUUGUUUGUUUUUAAUUUUUCUACAUAGUCUCUUUGUAAGUCUAUACACUUCUCUUCAUAAUAAUAAAAAGAAGUCGCUUGGGGCUAGAUACGGCGAGUAACGAGGAUGGUGCAAUCCAGUUUUCCAGCUUUUGCUUUUUUCGGAGUCGGUUUUCCCUUCGCAGUUCACUGAUUUGACUGUAUUUUUGAUUCGGGCGUACAAUGGUAUAUCCAAAUUUCAUCUACACUAAUUAAUUGGCGCUAAAACUCGGAUUUAUUGCGCCUAAAGCGUAGGAAACAUUCAUUCGAACACGUUUUUGAUUUAAAAUGUGACAAACACGUUCUUCGAACAUUUUCAUAACCUCUCUCUUUUUUUAAUUCAUUUAACACCACAGUUUAGCAAUAUUAUCGUCAGUAGUUACAGUUUUUGGAAAACACGAAUGUUCAUCUCCGGUCACGUUUAAAUUCAGCUCAAAAUUUCACUGUGGUAAACGAUGGGCAGAGUUCCCAUACACAGAGUUCAACUCAACUUUAAUUUGCGUAGGCGGAUUGCCUUUCAAAAACAAAUAUUUUAUAACAGCUCCCAUCGACUCAUUUAAACGGUUCUCAACUAAAAACCACAGCUCCAAAAUGGCUGAAACUUUGAUAAGUAACUAUCAAGGGGAGCACAACAAGAUCACUAGCUUUUAGUAACUAGUGCCGCCAUUUUCAAAGUGAAGUCGGAAAAGUUUUCAAGUGGCCCUCGUAUAUACCUACGUUUCUUUUUCCGAGGAAGUUCAAUAGUACCUAAAUAUAAUUCCGAUAUUUUCCCAUUUUUUAUUUCCAAUAAGCAAAUUGACAAUCAAUUCCGGUAUUACUGGAAGUGGUUCAAAAAGAUAAACCCUGGGUGUGUUUUUGUAGUUAUAACAAUAGUAGUUCUGCCCUAAUAGACCAACGAGGAUUCCGGUGGAAGAUCCUGUUUAGCAAAGGAAUUACAUAUACCUAAUAUGGUGAUCGCUUACACUGUAUACUUUUAGAAUGGCAGCCAGAGGCGAUUUAAUUCGUUUUAAACCUAUCAACAGUUUGAAUUGCUAAACUUACCUCUAACGCAUGAACAUUCAAUGAUACUACGGCGAUAUAGCAAAUCCGCUGCCGACGAUUAGCUAGCACUUACGGUUUUACGAUUAAUUUGACCACUGGUUAUCGUCCAUAAAUUCCAACGCGUAGGAACACUUUCUAAAGUCUUCUUUAGCACGAACUUUAUAUGGUGGCCCCAACUUUCAUAAUCCGAUCGAACUAAAUUAAUUCCAAUCGCGAGCAAUUAACUCGAUUCAUUUCGAUCUUCGAUCACUGUAGUACCUACUCCCAAAAAUCCCAAAUUUUGCAAUAAAGGUUACCUAUAUUAAAUGCUAUAAGCAUUUAUCCACCAAAUUCAUCAUUUGAGAAUUAAAUUUUCUGAUCUUAUAUAAACUUUGCAGGUCUAAUUAAUGGAGUCGUUAUUUAGCUGAUUGUAUCCAAAAUCCA